rnacentral:rRNA from 1 species
GGUUAACCGAAUAGGGGAGCCGGAGGGAAACCGAGUCUUAAUUGGGCGUUAAGUUGCAGGGUAUAGACCCGAAACCCGGUGAUCUAGCCAUGGGCAGGUUGAAGGUUGGGUAACACUAACUGGAGGACCGAACCGACUAAUGUUGAAAAAUUAGCGGAUGACCUGUGGCUGGGGGUGAAAGGCCAAUCAAACCGGGAGAUAGCUGGUUCUCCCCGAAAGCUAUUUAGGUAGCGCCUCGUGAAUUCAUCUCCGGGGGUAGAGCACUGUUUCGGCUAGGGGGCCAUCCCGGCUUACCAACCCGAUGCAAACUGCGAAUACCGGAGAAUGUUAUCACGGGAGACACACGGCGGGUGCUAACGUCCGUCGUGAAGAGGGAAACAACCCAGACCGCCAGCUAAGGUCCCAAAGUCAUGGUUAAGUGGGAAACGAUGUGGGAAGGCCCAGACAGCCAGGAUGUUGGCUUAGAAGCAGCCAUCAUUUAAAGAAAGCGUAAUAGCUCACUGGUCGAGUCGGCCUGCGCGGAAGAUGUAACGGGGCUAAACCAU